UUACUCGUUGACAGAUGUAUGUGUAAACGGACAAGCCAUAAACUGUAAAGAACUGUUGUAAAAAAAAUCCUCUAAUAUAACCACAUAGCAUGUUUGUAUUUUGAGCCUGUAAUCUGUUAUGUGUGGUACGUAAAUGAAUUGAUGAGAGGUUUCCUACAUAGAAGGGUUAAAGUAAGUAAGACAUUUUUCUGUGUUUAUGCCUAAUUGAGACAGUUUGUAAUAAAAUAUAUUAGGUAAUGAAUGAUAUUAUUCAAUUACAGAUUUA